rnacentral:rRNA from 1 species
GAUGAACGCUGGCGGCGUGCCUAAUACAUGCAAGUCGAGCGAAUGGAUUAAGAGCUUGCUCUUAUGAAGUUAGCGGCGGACGGGUGAGUAACACGUGGGUAACCUGCCCAUAAGACUGGGAUAACUCCGGGAAACCGGGGCUAAUACCGGAUAACAUUUUGAACCGCAUGGUUCGAAAUUGAAAGGCGGCUUCGGCUGUCACUUAUGGAUGGACCCGCGUCGCAUUAGCUAGUUGGGGAGGUAACGGCUCACCAGGGCAACGAUGCGUAGCCGACCUGAGAGGGUGAUCGGCCACACUGGGACUGAGACACGGCCCAGACUCCUACGGGAGGCAGCAGAAGGGAAUCUUCCGCAAUGGACGAAAGUCUGACGGAGCAACGCCGCGUGAGUGAUGAAGGCUUUCGGGUCGUAAAACUCUGUUGUUAGGGAAGAACAAGUGCUAGUUGAAUAAGCUGGCACCUUGACGGUACCUAACCAGAAAGCCACGGCUAACUACGUGCCAGCAGCCGCAGUAA